GUGGGGAAUAUUGGGCAAUGGAGGCAACUCUGACCCAGCAACGCCGCGUGAAUGAUGAAGGUCUUCGGAUUGUAAAGUUCUUUUCUAAGGGAAGAAGAAAGUGACGGUACCUUAGGAAUAAGCCUCGGCUAACUACGUGCCAGCAGCCGCGGUAAUACGUAGGAGGCAAGCGUUAUCCGGAAUGACUGGGCGUAAAGGGUGCGUAGGUGGUUCAGCAAGUUAGUAGCGUAACUCCGGGGCUCAACCUCGGCACUACUACUAAAACUGUUGGACUUGAGUGAUGGAGAGGCAGGCGGAAUUCCCGGUGUAGCGGUGGAAUGCGUAGAUAUCGGGAGGAACACCAGUGGCGAAGGCGGCCUGCUGGACAUUAACUGACGCUGAGGCGCGAAAGCGUGGGGAGCAAACAGGAUUAGAAACCCUAGUAGUCC
rnacentral:rRNA from 1 species